UUUUAUAUGCAUUUAAUAUUUUUAAAAAUAGUUCAAAAGCUGUCAAAAUAAAAUGGUGAAUUGAGUUUAAUCCAGAAAAGAUAUAAACGUAAUCUUUGGGAUUCAACUUGUAUGGAUGUUCCAAGAACCACUUAGUUGGAGAAGGAAAACUGUGCCGUUCAUUAACAAGUCCUGUGCUUUAUAAUAUAUUAAAAAAUGGAAGGACGUGAAGAAAACAGGCAGGAAUGUUUGACUGGAAAUAUAAACGAUGUUGUACAUAAUGCAGAUAGCUUAGGCAAAAAAGAGAUUGGUGAAAUGGAGAAUGAGACUAACUAGGGUGAAAAAAAAAUGAAUAUUAAUAUGUGAAUGGUACUUUGUUUAACAUCUACCUGUUUCUACAGAUACAGUACAGACGCAUUUAUAAAUGGGCUUGAUGUUUUUUUGAAUUAAAUAUGUUGUAUUGA